CUUUUUCUCUGUGCAUCCUCAGUGACGCGGGGCACAGCUCUGCCCGGGGGCCUACCAGAGCCCACCUGGACCCCACACUGGGUCAGCCCUGGUGCGGAGGAGGCCGCUGCGCGGCCAGGUCACAGUCGGCACCAGAAGUUUGGCAGAUCUCAGUGAGGCGUUAGUUUGCAUUUCCUUGUGACGG
rnacentral:ncRNA from 2 species